UGCAGUCGAGCGGACAGAUGGGAGCUUGCUCCCUGAUGUUAGCGGCGGACGGGUGAGUAACACGUGGGUAACCUGCCUGUAAGACUGGGAUAACUCCGGGAAACCGGGGCUAAUACCGGAUGGUUGUCUGAACCGCAUGGUUCAGACAUAAAAGGUGGCUUCGGCUACCACUUACAGAUGGACCCGCGGCGCAUUAGCUAGUUGGUGAGGUAACGGCUCACCAAGGCGACGAUGCGUAGCCGACCUGAGAGGGUGAUCGGCCACACUGGGACUGAGACACGGCCCAGACUCCUACGGGAGGCAGCAGUAGGGAAUCUUCCGCAAUGGACGAAAGUCUGACGGAGCAACGCCGCGUGAGUGAUGAAGGUUUUCGGAUCGUAAAGCUCUGUUGUUAGGGAAGAACAAGUGCCGUUCAAAUAGGGCGGCACCUUGACGGUACCUAACCAGAAAGCCACGGCUAACUACGUGCCAGCAGCCGCGGUAAUACGUAGGUGGCAAGCGUUGUCCGGAAUUAUUGGGCGUAAAGGGCUCGCAGGCGGUUUCUUAAGUCUGAUGUGAAAGCCCCCGGCUCAACCGGGGAGGGUCAUUGGAAACUGGGGAACUUGAGUGCAGAAGAGGAGAGUGGAAUUCCACGUGUAGCGGUGAAAUGCGUAGAGAUGUGGAGGAACACCAGUGGCGAAGGCGACUCUCUGGUCUGUAACUGACGCUGAGGAGCGAAAGCGUGGGGAGCGAACAGGAUUAGAUACCCUGGUAGUCCACGCCGUAAACGAUGAGUGCUAAGUGUUAGGGGGUUUCCGCCCCUUAGUGCUGCAGCUAACGCAUUAAGCACUCCGCCUGGGGAGUACGGUCGCAAGACUGAAACUCAAAGGAAUUGACGGGGGCCCGCACAAGCGGUGGAGCAUGUGGUUUAAUUCGAAGCAACGCGAAGAACCUUACCAGGUCUUGACAUCCUCUGACAAUCCUAGAGAUAGGACGUCCCCUUCGGGGGCAGAGUGACAGGUGGUGCAUGGUUGUCGUCAGCUCGUGUCGUGAGAUGUUGGGUUAAGUCCCGCAACGAGCGCAACCCUUGAUCUUAGUUGCCAGCAUUCAGUUGGGCACUCUAAGGUGACUGCCGGUGACAAACCGGAGGAAG
rnacentral:rRNA from 1 species